rnacentral:rRNA from 1 species
ACUCGCCGAAUGAGUUUCUGACCUAUCAACUCGAGACGGCGGGGUAGAGGCCCGCCGCGGUAACGACGGGUAACGGGGAAUCAGGGUUCGAUUCCGGAGAGGGAGCCCGAGAAACGGCUACCACUUCCAAGGAAGGCAGCAGGCGCGCAACUUACCCUAAUCUCGAUUCGAGGAGGUAGUGACAAGAAAUACCGAUGCGGGACCCUACGGGUGCCGCGUUUCGGAAUGAGUACGAUUCGAACCACCUAACGAGGAACGAUCGGAGGGCAAGUCUGGUGCCAGCAGCCGCGGUAAUUCCAGCUCCAAUAGCGUACGUUAAAGUUGCUGCAGUUAAAAAGCUCGUAGUUGAACGUUCGGGUUCCGCGGGACGGGGCCGCCCGCGAGGGACGGCGCCGCCCCGGGGCUCCGUGAUAUCUCAUCUCGCCG